rnacentral:rRNA from 1 species
CACCUACGGGGCGCAGCAGUGAGGAAUAUUGGUCAAUGGGCGGGAGCCUGAACCAGCCAAGCCGCGUGAGGGAAGAAGGUACAGCGUAUCGUAAACCUCUUUUGUCAGGGAACAAAGGCGGGGACUAGUCCCCGGAUGAGUGUACCUGAAGAAAAAGCAUCGGCUAACUCCGUGCCAGCAGCCGCGGUAAUACGGAGGAUGCGAGCGUUAUCCGGAUUUAUUGGGUUUAAAGGGUGCGCAGGCGGUCUGUUAAGUCAGCGGGAAAAGCACGGGGCUCAACCACGGCGAGACGUUGAAAGUGGCCG